rnacentral:rRNA from 1 species
GACGAACGCUGGCGGCGUGCUUAACACAUGCAAGUCGAACGAUGAAGCGGGUGCUUGCACUCGUGGAUUAGUGGCGAACGGGCGAGUAACACGUGAGUAACCUGUCCUUUUCUUUGGGAUAACGGCUGGAAACGGCUGCUAAUACUGGAUAUUCAGGCUGCAUCGCAUGGUGUGGUUUGGAAAGGUUUUUUCUGGGAUUGGGUGGGCUCGCGGCCUAUCAGCUUGUUGGUGGGGUGAUGGCUUACCAAGGCUUUGACGGGUAGCCGGCCUGAGAGGGUGGUCGGUCGCACUGGGACUGAGAUACGGCCCAGACUCCGACGGGAGGCAGCAGUGGGGAAUAUUGCACAAUGGACGAAAGUUUGAUGCAGCGACGCCGCGUGGAGGGUGUAGGCCUUCGGGUUGUGAACUCCUUUUUCUCGCGAAAAAGGCACAGUUUUGGCUGUGUUGAUGGUAGUGGGGGAAGAAGCGCCGGCUAACUACGUG